rnacentral:lncRNA from 1 species
ACGCACAAAUCAUAGAGCCACCUACUCAAGAAGCCCAAAGACAAGCCCCCCUACCAGACAUUCCAUCCUCAUCCUCCAAUGAAUGUUUCAACCUUGAUCUUGAUCUUUACACCCUGCAAGAUCAAUUCAAAAGAGCCCCUCCUACAAACAAUUCGCAACUCUUUGAACUCAUAUCAGAUCUUUCGACCAAAGCAGAACUGUCUGAAGCAUCCCAAAAAGUGACUAAAGACAUACAGGAAGAACUUGAAGUUCACUCAGACCUUGUUCAACUGAGGCUAUAUAACUCAUCUCAUUGAUGCUGCCAACUCCCUCCUAAGCACCCUAAGCUCUUAGCUAACAAAGAAGC